CUUCCGUGAGUUGGCAGCUAUCAUGACUUGGAGAGUUAUUUUUGGUGAGGAGACGGAGACACGAGCCUGUCCAGUGUAUGCAUGUACUAGUAGUGCGUGGGAAAACUGCAUUCUUCAGAAAUUGGAAGGCUCUGCAGUCUUUCUACGAAAGCCGAAAAGUUGCAAUCGGAGAAUGUCUCUCCCACAUUGCCGAAACAAAUGAUGUAGCACAAUUAGUAGGCGAUACAUUCACUAGGCAUUACGAAUUAUACAAAGCACUUUGGAAUAGUGGUGUCCGUGGCUCGGUGAUCGUUUGUGGAUCUCUCAAGUACCCU
rnacentral:ribozyme from 1 species